GAUGAACGCUAGCGGCAGGCUUAACACAUGCAAGUCGAGGGGUAGAAGUUGCUUGCAACUUUGAGACCGGCGCACGGGUGCGUAACGCGUAUGCAACCUACCUUUUACAGAGGGAUAGCCCAGAGAAAUUUGGAUUAAUACCUCAUAGUAUAUAACCUUCGCAUGUUGGUUAUAUUAAAGUUCCAACGGUAAAAGAUGGGCAUGCGUCCUAUUAGCUAGUUGGUGUGGUAACGGCACACCAAGGCGACGAAAGGUAGGGGUCCUGAGAGGGAGAUCCCCCACACUGGUACUGAGACACGGACCAGACUCCUACGGGAGGCAGCAGUGAGGAAUAUUGGACAAUGGGCGCAAGCCUGAUCCAGCCAUGCCGCGUGCAGGAAGAAGCAUCUAUGGUGUGUAAACUGCUUUUGUACAGGAAGAAACACCCCUUCGUGAAGGGACUUGACGGUACUGUAAGAAUAAGGAUCGGCUAACUCCGUGCCAGCCGCCGCCGUAAUAC
rnacentral:rRNA from 1 species